GGGGGCGUAAUUGGUUUCGACGGGGGUAUAGAAGUAUAAUAAGCGAGCCGCUGUAGCCAACCAGCGUAAAAAAUGGCAACUUAAAUUAAACGCUAAAAACAAUAAUAAUUUAGCAUUCGCAGCGUAAGCUGUUAGCUUGUUCCACUUGGCCGACCUGUAGGCCAUACUGGGACAUCAGAUAAAUCAGGGAACUGCUUUAGGGACGCUUCGACCUAUUGCCGAACAAUCGAAGAUAGCCUGAUGUGAAUUUUGUCAAGACUUGUCACAUCAUGCGAUACUCUAAGUUUUGACUGCGCUCGGAGAAAGUUGUAUGGAAAUGCUUUCGGACGUGGGUUCGACUCCCACCGCCUUCACCA
rnacentral:tmRNA from 1 species